rnacentral:rRNA from 1 species
UACGAAGGGGGGCUAGCGUUGCUCGGAAUUACUGGGCGUAAAGGGAGCGUAGGCGGAUAGUUAAGUCAGAGGUGAAAGCCCAGGGCUCAACCUUGGAAUUGCCUUUUGAUACUGGCUAUCUUGAGUAUGGGAGAGGUAAGCGGAACUCCGAGUGUAGAGGUGAAAUUCGUAGAUAUUCGGAAGAACACCAGUGGCGAAGGCGGCUUACUGGCCCAUUACUGACGCUGAGGCUCGAAAGCGUGGGGAGCAAACAGGG